rnacentral:rRNA from 1 species
UACGUAGGGGGCAAGCGUUGUCCGGAUUUAUUGGGCGUAAAGAGCGUGUAGGCGGUCUGGUAAGUCCGUUGUGAAAACUCGAGGCUCAACCUCGAGACGCCGGUGGAAACCAUCAGACUAGAGUCCGGAAGAGGAGAGUGGAAUUCCUGGUGUAGCGGUGAAAUGCGCAGAUAUCAGGAAGAACACCCGUGGCUAAGGCGGCUCUCUAGUACGGUACUGACGCUGAGACGCGAAAGCGUGGGGAGCGAACAGG